rnacentral:tRNA from 2 species
GGGGAUAUAGCUCAGUUGGCUAGAGCGUCUGCUUUGCACGCAGGAUGUCGUGGGUUCGAGUCCCAUUAUCUCCACCA